ensembl:lncRNA
CCACCCAACGGGUAUCCAUAUGAGGGCACAAGGCGAGACCCAGAUGCAGACACGGGAGGCAGAUGGUUUGAGUCUUUGAUAUUUAUUAAUAAUCCAAAAACAGUAGGCGAGAGUAUAGCCGUGGUCAGGCAAAAAAGGUCAAAACCAGUUCAGAGUCCAGGAGGUACAGAGUGGCAGGCAGGCUCGAGGUCAGGGCAGGUAAAACAGGUUGGCAGGCUCGAGGUCAGGGCAGGUAAAACAGGUUGGCAGGCUCGAGGUCAGGGCAGGUAAAACAGGCUGGCAGGCUCGAGGUCAGGGCAGGUAAAACAGGUUGGCAGGCUCGAGGUCAAGGCAGGUAAAACAGGUUGGCAGGCUCGAGGUCAGGGCAGGUAAAACAGGCUGGCAGGCUCGAGGUCAGGGCAGGUAAAACAGGUUGGCAGGCUCGAGGUCAGGGCAGGUAAAACAGGUUGGCAGGCUCGAGGUCAGCGCAGGUAAAACAGGCUGGCAGGCUCGAGGUCAGGGCAGGCAGAAUGGUCAGGCAGGCUCGAGGUCAGGGCAGGCAGAAUGGUCAGGCUGGCGGGUACAGAGUCCAGAAAACAGGGUCAAGGGUCAAAACCGGGAGGACUAGAAAAAGAGAACAGAAAAGGCAGGAGCACGGGAAAACCGCUAGUGGACUUGGAAACAUACAAG